AGCAGCCGCGGUAAUUCCAGCUCCAAUAGCGUAUAUUAAAGUUGUUGCAGUUAAAAAGCUCGUAGUUGAAUUUCGGGAUUGACACAUCGGUCGUGCCUUAAGGGGUGUGAACUGGUGUAGUCAAUUUCUCACCUUCUGGAGAACCGCGAUGUCCUUAAUUGGGUGCCGCGAGGAACCAGGACCUUUACUUUGAAAAAAUUAGAGUGUUUAAAGCAGGCAUUUUUGCUUGAAUACAUUAGCAUGGAAUAAUAAAAUAGGACGGCAUGAUUCUAUUUUGUUGGUUUCUAGGAUCACCGUAAUGAUUAAUAGGGAUAGUUGGGGGCAUUAGUAUUCAAUUGUCAGAGGUGAAAUUCUUGGAUUUAUUGAAGACUAACUACUGCGAAAGCAUUUUGCCAAGGAUGUUUUCAUUAAUCAAGAACGAAAGUUAGGGGAUCGAAGACGAUCAGAUACCGUCGUAGUCUUAACCAUAAACUAUGCCGACUAGGAAUCAGACGAUGUUAAUUUUUUAAUGACUCGUUUG
rnacentral:rRNA from 1 species